rnacentral:sRNA from 1 species
ACUUAAUGACACACACGUAGUAGAUAUCCAGUCUAUUGAACAGUUAUCGUUGUAAUUUGCUUUUCUAUGUUUUUCAUGUUUUAUUUUAUUGACUGGUUUUGUUCUUUGUUUUAAGUAGAGGAUAUAUUUUGCUUAUAAAUUUUAUUUUAUGUGAUUUUAUUAGCGACUUUUUUUAUGACUAACUAGAUUAGAUUGUUUCCCCAUAUUUAUCAAUAUGUGAUUAUUAUUAUUUUUUUAAUUAUGAUUUGUUCUCUGUUAAUGAUUUCACUGAUGUUAUAAACAUUCCUAUCUUGUAUAUUUUCGCACCUGAAUCAUUUGAGUUUAGUUCCAAGUUAAAACAUUAAAUGUAUAGUUUUGUAUUGUUUUGCUUAACAUGUGUGUAUGUUAAUUUUUUAUUGCAUUUAUUUUAAGAAUAAGAAUAUCUUUCUAUUUCAUUCAAAAUGUAAAAACAUGCGUUUUCUUAAUAUUUUAAAGUUUCUGACACUUACAUUUACAGUUUGAUAAAGAAGACUGGGGGUCAACAAAAAAACCAUCAAAUACCUAAAUUUUAGAUACGAUUUUUGAAGCGUUUAACCUCUUAAAGGAAAGAAAAAUCUAAAAUUAUUUAGUUUUAAAAUUUAAAUAUUUUCAGAGAUUUUUAUAAAGGAAAUUAAAAUAGUCUAUUAAAUAUCACGACCAUUAAACCCUCUUAUUGAAAAGUGAAUUUCAUUUAGUAAUGAUAAACACUGCUGUUUCUAAUUUUCUAUAUAUCUUAUAAUUGCUUGACAAAAGUUUUUUAUUUAAAACUUCAUAUUUACACUUGAUGAAAAGCGCGUAAGCACGCUUAUCUUUAUUUGGCUAUGGAUGUAAAAUUUGUUGUGCGAUUAUUUAGCUGCUAUUAAAACUUUUUCAGGAAAU